CCUACGGGAGGCAGCAGUGAGGAAUAUUGGUCAAUGGUCGGGAGACUGAACCAGCCAAGCCGCGUGAGGGAGGAAGGUACAGAGUAUCGUAAACCUCUUUUGUCAGGGAACAAAGGCGGGGACGUGUCCCCGGAUGAGUGUACCUGAAGAAAAAGCAUCGGCUAACUCCGUGCCAGCAGCGGCGGUAAUACGGGGGAGGCGAGCGUUAUCCGGAUUUCUGGGGUUUAAGGGGUGCGCAGGCGGUCUGUUAAGUCAGCGGUAAAAGCCCGGGGCCCACCCCCGGCCCGCCGUUGAAACUGGCAGUCUCGAGUUGGAGAGAGGUAUGCGGAAUGCGCGGUGUAGCGGUGAAAUGCAUAGAUAUCGCGCAGAACUCCGAUGGCGAAGGCAGCAUGCCGGCUCCACACUGACGCUGAGGCACGAAAGCGUGGGUAUCGAACAGGAUUAGAUACCCUUGUAGUC
rnacentral:rRNA from 1 species